rnacentral:rRNA from 1 species
GGACUACCCGGGUAUCUAAUCCUGUUUGCUCCCCACGCUUUCGCGUCUCAGUGUCAGGAAUGGCCCAGAAGGCCGCCUUCGCCGCCGGUAUUCCUCCAAAUAUCUACGAAUUUCACCUCUACACUUGGAAUUCCACCUUCCUCUACCAUCCUCUAGCCAGCCAGUUUCGAGUGCACUUCCUCGGUUGAGCCCAGGGAUUUCACACCCGACUUAACUAGCCACCUACACGCGCUUUACGCCCAAUGAUUCCGAACAACGCUUGCACCCUACGUAUUACCGCGGCUGCUGGCAC